UAGCUACCCAAACGAAGGAAAGAU
rnacentral:snRNA from 1 species